UAGAAGAAAGUAAGAAAGGGUACACGGGGGAUGCCUUGGCUCUCAGAGGCGAUGAAGGACGUGAUAAGCUGCGAUAAGCCGCGGGGAUCAGCAAAUAUGAAUUGAUCCGCGGAUUUCCGAAUGGGGAAACCUAACUAUUUGAAGAAUAGUUGCAUAAAUGCGCAAACCUGCUGAACUGAAACAUCUAAGUAAGCAGAGGAAGAGAA
rnacentral:rRNA from 1 species